UUUCCUGUUUCCUUAGAAAAUGCUAUUUUUGUGUUCUCAUUCCUGUAAGUAAACUCAUUUUGUGCACUAGUCCCUGAAGGCAAAUACAGCAAAAGCAUUGUUUCCUCUAUGCAAAUAAAUGCAUCAUACAUUUAGGCAUUUUUAAUAUCUUAAUUGUAUAAAUUUCGGGCACAUUUCUGUUUUGUUCCAUCAGUGUUCCAUACAGCCUAUUUUGACACCUUUUCUUUGUGAUGCAGAAGCUUUGUGUAACUGGUAGGGUAAAAAACCUUAUUGCACCCAUCUGAGACUGGAUGAUACGCAGGUGAACGUCAGCCUGGCUUCAUUUGGUGCAGGGAGCACAGGUGGAAGGGAGGGAUGCUGCCCUGGAGCAAGGGGACAGGAAGAGAAGUGCUCCAGAUUUCUAGCAAUGAGAAAUUCUAAUGAAUGUUAUUCCUUUUUUCUUUCUUUUUUUUUUUUUUUUUUUUUCCAGAAUUAUUCUUUAGAAUUUUCUGCUCUGACUGCUUAUAAAGACACUAAACAAAAUGCAGUUUGUCCUUGAAAAUUCUGGCUAAGCAGUUGUAAAAUCCAUUUGUUUUUGGAAAAAAAUCAUAGAACAAGGGUUCUCACGCUGGGACUCCUGACAAAAUAGACAUUUACUGACAGCACGUAAGAUCUAUUGGGCAAACGCAGACUUCGAGUUCAAAUUGAGCAUGUUACUAAGGGUCUGGUGUAAGGCCCAGUGCAAUCCCUAAACAUGGCCAAAGUGAGAGACUGGGUGAUGCACCGACAUAGCUGAGAUUUUGAAGUGCACGCAGUAUAUUUAUUCUGAAGCAGGUUAUGCUGUAUAUGCUUGUUAGAGGGUGCAAAAAGAGGAAAUGGCAGAGCUGGCCAGUCAUGCCAAGGAGUCUAGUGCAACUUAAAUGUGUGUGCCGAGCCUUGUGCAGGAGCAGAGCACAAUUUCAUAUUGCUUAGCAACACUGCUGCUUACAUUUCCCAUUUCCUUCCAUGUCGAAAGCCGGUGAGCAGCAAACGUGCGUUUCUGGUGGCUUCCUGCUGAUGUGAAGGCAGCGGGCAGUGCAUCCAGGGGCAGGGGUGGGACGGCACGGGGAAGGGGUGUCGGGCAGCAUCGCUUUACCACCCGCAGCACUUUUCCGUCUGAAAAUGGAAAGCCUUUACUAAUUGAGAAGCUGCCUUCUGCUCCGUGUUGUCUUCUGCUAUAAGGGAGGUUACUGCAUGUGUUGGAAGGCAGGGAACAGAUUUCUCAAGAUGCUUUUGGCACAGGUACCCUAUGCCUAGCCUGAAAAUACAGCUCUUCAGCACUGGAGGAAUGGUGGUGUUAAGCAGAGCUGCACGGUGUUUCCUUCUCUGUGACAUACAACAGGCUUGCAAGGGAUCGGUCCGAGGAGACACAUAGCUCUUCUGUGCCUCUUCAGCCCUAGAUGCACAGUUCCUGCAAAUACAGCUGCAGGAUCCAUUUUGCACUGCUUGAUCUGAUGCUGAACCCUCCCAAACGGGCUCCAAGCAUCCCAGCCAAGUCCCGCUACGAGCACAGCGCCCUCGGCGACCUCGCCUGCCUCAG